AAAAUCAGGGGACUGAAGAGAAGGCUAAUACGCCUUCAUUCAAUAUGGCACAAAGUGUUUUUGUUUUAAUUUCUUUUAAUUCAUGAUAUCAAAACUUCGGAAAUAUCGACAAGCUAUUUUUCGACAUAAAGAAGCCAUACAAACACAAAAGGCUCGAUGUACCUCAACUAAUUGCAAGUUUUCGCCAGGAGAAGUUAAUUGCCGAUAAUUAGCACUCACUGCGUACUAACCAAUCACCCAAAAUGAGCGCUGAAUUGGUACUAAAACCACUGGGUACACAGAAAAAAAAAUAAAACUAUGCAAUGAAAUGUAAUGCGCUUUCUAUCUGAAAAGCGGCUUAUUUUCUUUAAAAUGAGAGUAAAAAUCGUCUCCGUAAAAUGUUUGUAUUUUAUGUAAAAGUAAUUUGAUUCGAGGCUGUGUGUAAAAUUAAAAGCACGCGCUUUUGUCACAGAAGUUCAAGAAAUGUUAAAUCACCUUACGUAAACACGUAGCCGGUGCUGUGACACCGAAUGAUGGAAAGAGAAAACAACAGUACGGAAAACAACGUUAUUUUUUUAUGUGUAGUCGUUACAGCUGAGCCAUCAGACUGCAGGUGGCAACCAGUUGGUCGAGAUAAAGUUUUUUAGCCUCGACUAAGUAUCCGUCGAUUUCUGUUGCUGAUUUGUGCUGCUGUGUAGCUAUUUUUAGAUACUGCUGGAACCUCGGCUGGAACCGAAAAAAGUAAACGGCCAUCUACUGAAUGUUGGUUAAAAAAAACUUUUGCCACCCGAUUGUAGCAAAUGUUUCUAUCACCCAUGGUCCCGGAUCCGGCAAAAAUACGGCGCACUAAUAUAAAGAUGAAGGAAAUUCAUGGCGUAAUGUCCUCAGAAGACUAUGUUACACACCCUUGUCCUGGCCAGAGGCUUUGUUCACGGGCUGACGUACAAAAGUGGCCACCGUGUUUCGGGAGAUGCAGCAGCUUACACCGUCUAAAUGAAGAAAAAAGCUUGAAAUAAAAAGUGAAAGUCAUUCCUUGUGAUUUGUUUAUUUUCAUUUCAAUUGGAAAGAUGAUUGGAGCACGGCCGGGGUAACUGCGGUCCCAUCCUAUAUUUACUUCUUCUUCCCUCUAGCGAGAAUGACGUUGGGGAAACAAGGAACAUAGUCAUUUGAGUCAUUGCGUUGCUUCUUUCAGUAAUCCGGUAUGUUGCAGCUGUUGCUCCUGUUCAAAUCCAUCGUACGGUGCUCGAUUAGACAUUCCUUUGGCAGUGCCGUAGAUGUAUCCAGCAAACGCCAACCACCUCGAUCAAGUGCAUCUGUUACUUUAGAAAAGAGCUUGCGGUGUCCCUCCGUGAAAUUUGUGCCGACUAAUGGCUACCACAGUUGCCGCCAGCUCUUCCGUUUUGGGGUAAUCGAUCGCCGGAAGUACAAAAGUUUGAUGGCCUGAAGUGCGCCCUUCACGAUUUGUAAAACUUGUUUACUUUUAAAAGAGCUGGAUGUCUAGAAAAAUUAAAAACAAAUUUUGUAUUGCUGUUUGCAUUGAAACUUUUCGUUUCGUCGUUGAAGACAAUGACAAUUGUCUCCAGCGACUGCUUCCCCGAUAGACCUUUUAAACAUGUUUCUGAGUGCUCGGCGCGGAAACCCAAAGGUGGUAAUAAAAUUUUGGGAUUUAUGCGCAAUAUCUUAAAUGUUUUGACUUCAUAAAUUUAUGACUGGUGUGUUGUUGGA